UGGUGACUAUAGCAAGGAGGUCACACCUGUUCCCAUGCCGAACACAGAAGUUAAGCUCCUUAGCGUCGAUGGUAGUCGAAUAAAAAGUAAACACAAAGAAAAAUGGCUUGGCGAAGU
rnacentral:rRNA from 1 species